AAUGGUGAUGCAGCUGGUCAGUAUCUAUAUACACACAUCUAUUUAUGUUUAGAGAAAACUACAUGUUAAGCACAUUUUACUAGGUUCCUUUCACACAAAGAAAAUUUUUAGUUAUAAACCCCAGCCUGGAGUUUCUUAUACUUGAAAAGCGCAUGAUUGCUUAUGAAUAUCCGCAGUUGAGGAAGCACGAGAAAAAUUAUCCUAUCAUGACUUGGAAAUUGCAUCUUUUGUGUUUGCACUCAAGAUUUUGAUGGUCAUACAUGUAUGGGGAAAAAGUUAUGGUGUUCAUGGCCCAUAAAAAUCUUAAGUACAUUUUCACUCAACCCCUUGAUGGAUAGAUCGCAUUUUUGUAGACAUUGGUCAAUCGACCGAGUGCGCAUUGAGAUCAUUCGAUGGCGACCAUUUUGUCGCCUUUUGGAUUAUAUGAGCAUAUAAAAUACAAAAUUAUGUAGAUGCGUCGCUUUUACCAAUAGAUGAAAGACUUUCCACUAAUAAGAUUGAGCUCUUUUUUAACAAAUGAUAGGUAAUUUAUUUAGCUUCAUAUGCCAGAUGUUUGAGGUCCAUCUAAUGGUGCAAUGAUAAGUGCCAAGGUUGAGCUGAUCCAAUCAAGAAGCAGUGAUGAUGUGGAGGUGGAGUAACAACUUUAGGCAAGAGAGUUUGCUGAGUCUUGAGUUGUAUAUCGUUUAGACUAUAAAUAAUGAGUCUAAGAGAGGUUGGCCAUUUACUGGGAAAUUGUGUGGGACACUGAGAGAGAUCUUAUGUGUAUAGGCUCAAGGUCUCCUUGAGAUCUUGAGAUUGUAACUGGUUCGAUUAGAGUAACAAUAGAAUGCUGUGCUCUAUCAGGCAACCAAAAUUUAUGUUCGUUUACUGAAGACAAAUCAUAAUUUUCCAUGACUCUUUUUUCAAACAUCAUAUUUACAUUCUGUCCAUUUUUUUUUUUUUUUGCACUCAAAACUACAAACAAACUUUUUUAUAUUGUUUAAUUCUUUUCUCUUGAAGAAUUUAGAGUAACAUUAGUUUGUGGAUUUGAUCCCUAAUAUAUUAAUGCAAUUUGAUGUACAAGUACAUUUAAAGAUAACUUGAUGAUAUCAACUCGCAAAUAAAAAACAGUAAAUUUCGUUCUUAUAAAUCGCAAAAUGGUUCGUACCAAGAAAACCCACCGGACGAAAGCGGUGACGAAAACCACACAGGUUCCGU
rnacentral:lncRNA from 1 species